rnacentral:rRNA from 1 species
CUUGCUCUCGGGUGACGAGUGGCGGACGGGUGAGUAAUGUCUGGGAAACUGCCUGAUGGAGGGGGAUAACUACUGGAAACGGUAGCUAAUACCGCAUAACGUCGCAAGACCAAAGAGGGGGACCUUCGGGCCUCUUGCCAUCAGAUGUGCCCAGAUGGGAUUAGCUAGUAGGUGGGGUAACGGCUCACCUAGGCGACGAUCCCUAGCUGGUCUGAGAGGAUGACCAGCCACACUGGAACUGAGACACGGUCCAGACUCCUACGGGAGGCAGCAGUGGGGAAUAUUGCACAAUGGGCGCAAGCCUGAUGCAGCCAUGCCGCGUGUAUGAAGAAGGCCUUCGGGUUGUAAAGUACUUUCAGCGGGGAGGAAGGUGUUGUGGUUAAUAACCGCAGCAAUUGACGUUACCCGCAGAAGAAGCACCGGCUAACUCCGUGCCAGCAGCCGCGGUAAUACGGAGGGUGCAAGCGUUAAUCGGAAUUACUGGGCGUAAAGCGCACGCAGGCGGUCUGUCAAGUCGGAUGUGAAAUCCCCGGGCUCAACCUGGGAACUGCAUUCGAAACUGGCAGGCUAGAGUCUUGUAGAGGGGGGUAGAAUUCCAGGUGUAGCGGUGAAAUGCGUAGAGAUCUGGAGGAAUACCGGUGGCGAAGGCGGCCCCCUGGACAAAGACUGACGCUCA